GAUGAACGCUAGCGGCAGGCCUAAUACAUGCAAGUCGAGGGGCAUCACAGGUAGCAAUACUGGGUGGCGACCGGCAAACGGGUGCGGAACACGUACGUAACCUUCCUUUAAGUGGGAGAUAGCCCGAAGAAAUUCGGAUUAAUAUCCCAUAAGAUUGUGGAGUGGCAUCACUCAGCAAUUAAAGAAUUUCGCUUAAAGAU
rnacentral:rRNA from 1 species